GUUGAAACAACUCUAAAAUAGCUAUUCUGUCAUCGUUUUUAGUGAUACAAUAUAACACUCGGCGGAGUUGAUUCAACUCCUUGAAAUUUACAGUGUAUAUGCAAAGAAAACUUGCACUGACAGCGCGGUAAUCGUUGUGUAUUUAGUGUCAAAAUGUUAUGUUUUAAGUAUAUGUAUCAUGAAAUUUUUGCAGACUCGACGCUUGUAUGGAUAAUACAGAAUAGACUAUCUCUAUAAAGCGACUAAGCCUAUGGCAAGAUAUUCGCACUGAAAGCGAUUAGCCAAUUACUGCGUAGGUGGUAUUCUUUGUCAAACCGCAAGUGUUUUUCUCAAAUUAUCAGGUUCCGUUGGCGUCAAGUCGGCAUUUCUUAAAUUAAACAACAGACUUGAGAGAAUUAUAACUGACCCGCUAUACUUAUCCAGUAAUGGCGAAGUGAAUCUUUUUUCUCGCGAAACAAAUACGGCCGCUACUACCCACAAGUAUUUAAGUCACAAGUUUGCUUGGGCGAGAUGACGCCACUUUGAUCACAGUAACUUUGAUGGUGUAAACCGGCCUUUACAUAGUAGGUGUAUGAUUAUUAGUCGGUGGGCAUAUGAUGUAAGACGUCAUUGGGUGAACAGCGUUUUGAUGUAUAAAAUUCUUAAUGAGCAGUCCGCUCCAAGUCUUAGAGAAAAAUUUAUAAAAAUUAAACAUCUUAAUAGAGAAUAUAAUCUUCGAAGUAAUGAUACUGAUUUAGCACUCCAAAACCUAAAACAAACUAUCUUAAACGAAUUUUUAAGUAUAGUUUGGUUUCAAAGUUUGUUUUCCGCGUUUUACCCUCUUUUCCGCGUUUUACCCUUUUUUCCGCGUUUUACCCUCUUUUCCGCGUUUUACCCUUUUUUCCGCGUUUUACCCUCUUUUCCGUGUUUUACCCUCUAUUCCGCGUUUUACCCUCUAUUCCGCGUUUUACCCUCUUUUCCGCGUUUUACCCUCUUUUCCGCGUUUUACCCUCUAUUCCGUUUCCGCUUUUCCGGUUCCGCCAGUCCGUUCCGUUCCGUUUCCGCGUUUUACCCCUACCCCCUGACACUAAUCGUUUAAAGACUUAAAGGUGACAUUGACGCACAACAUUUUGUUGUCCCAUCUGGCAAACAGAUUACUUUUAAUGACGAUUCGAGUGUCCCUAUAUGUCGUGUGUCGUGGGUUAAAAGUCGUGUGUAAAGCCAUGGGUCAUAAAAUGUGCUAAAACGAAGAUAUUAUUUUUAUUUUUAAUAUUUUUUUCG